UGCCACACCUAUAUCCCCCUGCAGCCCACUGCUCACUGAAGUUAAGCAGAACUGAGCCUGGUCUGUACCUCGAUGGAAGACCACAUGGAAAACUAGGUUGCUGUUGAAA
rnacentral:rRNA from 1 species